GAGGGUAUAGCUCAAGUGGUACAGUGCAUGCUUAGUAUGCAGAAGGUCCUGGGUUCAAUACCCAGUACUUUCU
rnacentral:tRNA from 1 species